AGCAAAAAAGAAAAAUUACUUUGAAAAUUGAAAUGUCUUAUUUUGGUAGGAAAACCUUUUAGUUUUAACAUGUAACCUACUAGAUGUGUGAAACAUUUUUCAUGUAUAGUUACAAGUUUGUAAAUUUUCAUCUCUUUCCCUGCUUCAUAACUAUUGUUUUAAUGUUAUUUGUAGUAAUAUGAUAUGGGAGAAUUGUCAUGUACAUGUAUAUAUGAAGUGCAAUAAAUCAAGGCUUUAUUAGUUUAACAGUAUUAAACAGACAUAUGUA